rnacentral:lncRNA from 1 species
UUUUUACCGCUAGUGACUCCAGUUGCCUAGCUCCUUCCUCUCCACAGAAGUGACCAUGGCAUCUGGCUCCUUAUACUGUUUUCCGGACCCUUAUCUCAUCUCUUCCAUUCCUAUGAGCAAAACCCACUAUUCAGGCAAUGUGUGUGCUUACAAAAGAUGUGCUUAAAGCCCUAGAAGAACAAGACCUCCCAAAAGUGGUUUUAAGAAUUUAGCAUUUUCAUGGGUGAGGUGGCUCGGUGGAUAAAAGCACUCCCUAUCAAGCCUGACAAUUGAAUUUGAUCCCUAGAAGCCAUAAUGGUAGAUGAGGUAUGAGGGUGAGGAGCCCAGCAACACAGCAGCUUUCUAAAUGGUGACUGUGGAGAGAUGCCAAGGAUGUAGAAUGGUGCCAAGUGUAGAAUCCUGGAGUUGCUCCCUAAACCAGCAGAAACUCAUGUGCAAAGUGUAUUUCACGGAGGCCGAGUAUCUCACCUACAAAGAUAGAACGCAUGUGCAGAUAAUAUUGGGGAGCAGGGAACAAAACGUUUCCUGAGACAGCAAGAAAACGUCUCUGAGGAAAAAGUCGUAGGAGACUUCAAAACACAAAACACAAAACCUUUGGAGAAGGAAGAAAGGAGAAUUAAGCAAGAAGUCCUAGCUACACAUAUUUAAGAUGUUUCUCUUAUAGUAAAUUAAUGCCC